rnacentral:rRNA from 1 species
AACGAACGCUGGCGGCGCGCCUAACACAUGCAAGUCGAACGCGAAAGGGGGCAACCCUGAGUAAAGUGGCGCACGGGUGAGUAAUACCUAGGUAAUCUACCUUAUUGACCGGAAUAACCAGUCGAAAGAUUGGCUAAUACUGGAUAGAGCGAUUAAGCGAGAGUUUAGUUGGGAGAGGGUGGCUUGGGCAACCAAGCUAUUGCGAUGAGAUGAGCCUGGGUCCCAUUAGCUAGUUGGUGAGGUAAUGGCUCACCAAGGCGAUGAUGGGUAGCUGGUCUGAGAGGAUGAUCAGCCACACUGGGACUGAGACACGGCCCAGACUCCUACGGGAGGCAGCAGUAGGGAAUAUUGGACAAUGGGGGGAACCCUGAUCCAGCCAUGCCGCGUGAGGGAAGAAGGUCCUCUGGAUUGUAAACCUCUUUUUGGCAGGAAACAAACUGCGCUAUACGCGCAGCUGAGGGUACCUGCAGAAUAAGCACCGGCUAACUCCG